rnacentral:antisense_RNA from 1 species
GCCGGAUGACAUGAAGUAGUUGUUCCCACCUCCUCCUGGCACCUCCCUGACUCACGCACUUGGUGCGUGGAGGGGUCGUGAGCGGGCACAGGCAGCCACUUCGCUGCUUGCCUCAUCAGCCCCACAGUUCCCCACAGAUGAUCCCUGCAUUAGUUGGCAGAGCUGAUGGUGUUCCCUGUUUUACCCUGUGGUCUCAUUUCCGGAUGCUGCUACCGAUGCCCGUCUCUAGGGCUCCCUGCCCACGCGUGCAGCCUCGUCACUGAGAGGGAAGUGGCUGGAGAGGUGUCCAGAUCACAGCAAUGUCGCUGAUGGCGAGAUUCCGGGCCAUCCGUUUAUCCUGUGUGGAGGCUGACAGUGACGCAUGCCUCAUCUGCU